GCUCUCUGUAGUAAAGCCUACAACGUCUUAUAACCGGCUGCAGGACAGCACGGGCACACUUUGAGUCGAUCGGUUGGAUGCUGCGCGUCGGUGGAGGUUCCCUAAGGAUGAAAACCGAAGGCAGCUUUGGAUACAAGCCCUGAAAAGGAAAAACUUUAAGCCAUCUGCACAUACGCGCCUUUUUGUAUAUACAAGUGAGAUUAUAAUAAGGAGACUCAUACUAGCCCCUAAUGCACUUGUUUCAUAUUCCCGUCAGCACGAUUUCUCUGAGCUGAUGUAUGUAGAGCCAUUUUUAACGUCUUGAAAAUGGAAAAUUAUUUGCAGAGGGACUUGGUCUGGCCCAGGUUGUGCCUAUAAGCUAAACAGCCGAUAGAGAAAGGGUGUCUUCUAUCAGUUGGCAUCUGUUCUGACUGAGGGAGCUCGCUCAGCUCUACGCACUGCGGCAGUAACCAGCUCAGGGUCAGACCUUCUCUGAAGAGAAGCACCCUUCAACCGCUCUGCAGUGACAACCACCAAACAGUGCCAACAAGGAACCAAAUACAGGCAGCGCCGGAACAUCUGCAAGGCUGAAGCACCCGACCUGAACGAUGGCUGGAUUCUGGAAGAUUGUUGGACGGCUGCUCUUGAACGAGAUGAUGAACCAAAUGGCAGAAAGUGUGUUCGAAAGGAUGGACCCUAAGCAGGCGAAGAUGUGCAAACUGCUCUGCAAACUCAGAGGUGCAGUUGGCAGGAUGAGUCUUACUGGGGGACAAAUCAACAGAUUGAUGCAAGAGUUGACCCUUUUCUUGAAUAACGAAAAGGGUAACUUUGGGCAAAGUCUGAAGAUGAUUGUCGAGUCUUUGACGGUGGCGAGGGAUGCUUUUGAGGAGUAUGAAGAGAUUCAGGAAUUGAUUGAUGACAUCAAGAGAGAGUGGAAAUAUUACCAAACUGGAACGUAUGAGUUCUGAAAGUUUAAGUCUUUGUACUGAUUUUAAUGAAAACGUUUACUCGUUCCAUAGUCCACUAAUUCAUUUACCAUCUGUAUUAACCCGAAUAUAAAUAAAAAAAAAUACAAGGAA